AGGCUGCUGAUACUGUCUCUGCAUAUCACCACAAGGCAAAAGAGAGCGAACAAAUGAAUACUGCCGAAGGUUCUUAGGGAUGCUGCUUUCUUCUUUCCCCAUCACAUCUUCAAAUUAUGACGGCUGAACUGAGGAAUUCCCCGAGGGGCUGUUCAGAACUGGGAAUGAAGGGUUGAUGCUGAAUCCUCGCAGCCUGCAGGGCCGUUUGCAGCUAGGCUUGUGAGAUAUGACGUGUACAGAACCUUCCGCUCAGCAUCAUGACACUUGCUAGUGAUUGUAAAAACGCCAUGAAGGACCUAGGCUAUGCAACAUAAUAUACGUUAACAACUGGGAAACCUAAUAGAGGAACAAAGACAUUUUUCUCUUUACCACGCCCAGCUGAGGUGUUUCAGCUCCACUGUGAUUUAACCUGGAAAUCUCACAAUAAAGCUGUACGCCUUAUCAUUUCACAAUGCCAUGAUUAAUUUGCAGGUGUAUUCUCUUAGCGAAUAUCUUCUUCACAGAGUAUUAAAAAUCUGACAGAAACAUUCUAUAUAUAGAGAAGAUGCUGGAGAUCCCACGAUAAGGCAAGCUGGGACUGCAACAAUGCAGAUAUGUAUCUAGGGCUGUAAAAUUCUAAUUCAAACAGAGUUUAAGUAAUCUGAAUAUAUAAACAUUCCCAUUCUGUUAAUCUGUAAAUCUAGUAGGAAAACAUGUGCUGAGGCAGAUUAUCUGGGGUAUAAAAAUGAAGCUGGUGUCUUUUUAAAAUUUAUAUAGUCAGGUUCCUCAUCUAUCUGGGAAUCUUUAGAGAGAAUAGUUUAUUCUGAAAAUUAUUUUUCAAUUCACUUAAAAAUGUAAGUAUUUUUAAAAAAAUAUUGCAGCAUGUUAAGAAAUUGUAUAUUUACCUGUAAUAUCUGCACUGAGCUCAAAUAUAAAUUGUUUAAAUUCACAGAGCAACAACUAGCUAAUUUCUAGCUGCAACUAAUAUAUAUAUAUAAAUACAAAUGCAUAACUAAAAUACCUUCCUUCAUGUAGUUCAGGCUUUUUUAAAAUGACCGUUGAAUAGUAUAUAUAUAUUGCCCAGAAUAUUAAAUGUUGAAUCUUUACCUGACACAACAGCCUU